UGGGGAAUAUUGGACAAUGGGCGAAAGCCUGAUCCAGCCAUGCCGCGUGUGUGAAGAAGGUCUUCGGAUUGUAAAGCACUUUAAGUUGGGAGGAAGGGCAUUAACCUAAUACGUUAGUGUUUUGACGUUACCGACAGAAUAAGCACCGGCUAACUCUGUGCCAGCAGCCGCGGUAAUACAGAGGGUGCAAGCGUUAAUCGGAAUUACUGGGCGUAAAGUGCGCGUAGGUGGUUUGUUAAGUUGGAUGUGAAAGCCCCGGGCUCAACCUGGGAACUGCAUCCAAAACUGGCAAGCUAGAGUACGGUAGAGGGUGGUGGAAUUUCCUGUGUAGCGGUGAAAUGCGUAGAUAUAGGAAGGAACACCAGUGGCGAAGGCGACCACCUGGACUGAUACUGACACUGAGGUGCGAAAGCGUGGGGAGCAAACA
rnacentral:rRNA from 1 species